AUUUAUCCAACUUGCUUGUUUGUUCUUCUACAGCCUACAUUUUGCCCAAACUGUAUGUGAAGCUGCAUUACUGUGUCAGCUGUGCCAUCCACAGCAAAGUGGUGAGGAACCGCUCUCGUGAGGCCAGGAAAGACCGGACCCCUCCUCCACGGUUCAGGCCCACUGGUGGUCCCCCAAGAGCCCCUCCAAAACCAAUGUGAUCUGGAGAUAUUUGCUUACAUUUUUAUGUAAGGAAAUAAAGUGGACUAAAAAUUAAAA